UCCGGGCACGGUGGCACACACCUGUAGUCCCAGCUACUUAGGAGGCUGAGACAGGAGGAUCGCUUGAGUCCAAGAGUUCUGGACUGUAGUGCACUAUGCCGAUCAGGUGUCUGCACUAAGUUUGACAUCAAUAUGGUGACCUCUGGGGAGGGGGAGCACCAGGUUGCCUAAGGAGGGGUGAACUGGCCCAGGUAGGAAAUGGAGCAGGUCAUACAUGUGUGUCAUUACACUUCGCUCUUGUCACCUCCGCUGACUUUCCCUUAUCAUGUUUCCU
ensembl:misc_RNA Metazoa_SRP Metazoan signal recognition particle RNA